GCCGCGGUAGUAUAGCCCGGACAAGUAUGCGGGCCUCUCGAGCCCGUGACACUGCUCGUGCGGGAUACCCGGGUUCAAAUCCCGGCCGCGGCA
rnacentral:tRNA from 1 species